GGUCGUAGUUUUCAAGAUGGCGUCUGUAAAUCUCCACGCGAGAAAUCUCGCAACGAAGACAAAAUUAUCAUAAAUGUUAUUUAAUUGUUUUGACGAUGCAAAAGCUUACAUAAAAAGAAAUGAAAUUGAUACGAAUAACCGUUACAUAAUUGGUUACAGCACAACAAACGUUGGUAAUUCAGUUGUUACUUCAUCCUCCCAUAAGGUUUUUUGGGUCCAUGGGUGAACCCUUACAUGUAUGUGAGCCUUGGACAUCAGGUUCUGAAAUGCCAUCAUGGUACAGACAAGAAUAAGAAGAAAAAACUGGAAAAGGAGAAGACAAAGACAGUUAGCAGUGAGCAACAUUCAUAUGCUAAAUAGAAAACAAGGCAUGCAGUGCAGCUCUCCAAAAAAUUGGACUGUCCUGCUUCUAUCAUUCUGAAGGAAGUGUUGAUAUUCACCCCUGAAGAGGGUUCAUCAAGCGAGCUGGACAAAAAAAUGGCUGAUUCUAAUGUGAGGAGUGAUCUGAGUAAAGGCAUCAAGAAGAUAAUGGUGGUCUUUCCUAACAUCGAACACAAGUACCAUACAAGUGGAGAGAACGCUGGGCUGUUGCAACGUAUCGACAGUGAUGUUGCCUCAAAAAUUAAAGAACUCGUGGUGGAAGAGGACGUUGCAAAUGUUGAAGAAAUGCAACGCCAUCUGACCUCAUUUGUUAUGAAGAAUGUAACACCUGCUCCAUCAAGAACUAAUAGGAGAUUUGCCCCUACACAAAAAGUGAUCAGAUAUCACAUGAAUAAGGCAGCAAAGAAGGGUUGUGAUAGCAAUUAUGGCCAACACAGCUUAGUUCAGCUAGUGAGUGUGCUUAGUGUGUAACUAACAGUUACUUCAAUACAGAUAUAUAUAUUUAUCACAUGCCAUACCCUGCUUCCCCAUGUAAUAUAACCAUUACGAAUAUUUUUAUCUUACACAUGUGUAAUAUACUUUUUAAGGAUUUUCAUUGGCUUAUUUUCGUUUGAUUGACCAAUCGCAUUUUGUUAUUUUGCUGAAAUAGCAUUGCAAUGUCAAAUGUCUUAUAUAUUUAAUGUUGUGCCUUUCUUUUAUUAAUACGCUCUUCUUUUCUAUAUUUUGUAAUAUGUCCGCAAAACAAAAGCGUUCAUAUUUGCGUCCCUUUAUUGCUUGUUUAUAUUUUUUCUUGAUUAAAAAUCGAUGCAUUUUUUAGCAUUUGCGUAUAACCAUAGUUUAUUCGAUGUUUUGGUAUGAUUUUCUUGAAACGAGAUGGUUUGCCACAGACGUGCAUGGCAGAAAUGUAUAGAUUGUGUGUAAACCAUUUCACCAUUUCACCCAUUUCACCUUGAAUUGGUAAAUAUUAAAGAUGAAGUUCGUAUAAAAAAUGCGUUGUUAAAAUGUCAACUUUAUCUGCAUUUUAGGAGACGUAUGUAUUUUUAAUAAUGGUAUGAUUGAUUGAGUGUUCCAACCUGUAAUUAAUGAGUUUUCAUGAUGUUAACUGUGUAUAGUUGUGAAAUUAACCAUAUUCGUCGUUAUCACAUUAGUUAUGGCGACACUCUUCAAAGAUGAUCUUACAAUACUUAAAGUUGUAAUUAUUUUUUAUUUGUAACCUUUUAAGUCUAGUCCGGGUUUUCGCAACAAAUAAAUUUAACCAAACAUAGGACUGCACUCAACAGCACUUAUGUGGCCAAGGAUGGUUAAAUCUCAUAGAUGUGUGUUCAUAUUGAAAUACCAUAUAAAGUUGUAUAUAUUUAUGUAUGCAUGCAUGUAUGUAAUGAUAUACAUAUUAGAUAUAUUUAGUCUUAUACCCUAACAAUUGAUCCAUAUGCAUCACGCACAUUAACCCAUUGAACAUUUACCAAUAAAGUGUACUCCUUUUUAUCAUGUUAAUGUCAUUAAUUAAACAACUGAAAAAUCAGUAUCAAUAUGUUCGUCCCCAUACUGCAAAUUCUUCUUAUGGUAUGUCUGGUGAGUAAAUUAGUAAAUUUUAGAUACGCAGUUGCAAUAUUACAUGAAAUCAUGUAUUCCCUUCAUAAACAUACCAUGUUAACCAGUUCAAAACAAUAUCGUCCAACCUUUAUCUUCUACCAUCACAUAUAAAUUGUAUAAUCCAUAUAUAAUGUAAGCUAUGAGCUUGUAUAAGCUAUGUUGCUGAAUAAAUGUUGUUCUUGUUCUAAG